UGGCUCAGAGGUUAAGAGCACUGGCUGCUCUUCCAGAGGACCUGGGUUCAACUCCCAG
rnacentral:tRNA from 1 species